rnacentral:rRNA from 1 species
AGUUUGAUCCUGGCUCAGGAUGAACGCUGGCGGCGUGCCUAAUACAUGCAAGUCGAGCGAACGGACGAGAAGCUUGCUUCUCUGAUGUUAGCGGCGGACGGGUGAGUAACACGUGGAUAACCUACCUAUAAGACUGGGAUAACUUCGGGAAACCGGAGCUAAUACCGGAUAAUAUUUUGAACCGCAUGGUUCAAAAGUGAAAGACGGUCUUGCUGUCACUUAUAGAUGGAUCCGCGCUGCAUUAGCUAGUUGGUAAGGUAACGGCUUACCAAGGCAACGAUGCAUAGCCGACCUGAGAGGGUGAUCGGCCACACUGGAACUGAGACACGGUCCAGACUCCUACGGGAGGCAGCAGUAGGGAAUCUUCCGCAAUGGGCGAAAGCCUGACGGAGCAACGCCGCGUGAGUGAUGAAGGUCUUCGGAUCGUAAAACUCUGUUAUUAGGGAAGAACAUAUGUGUAAGUAACUGUGCACAUCUUGACGGUACCUAAUCAGAAAGCCACGGCUAACUACGUGCCAGCAGCCGCGGUAAUACGUAGGUGGCAAGCGUUAUCCGGAAUUAUUGGGCGUAAAGCGCGCGUAGGCGGUUUUUUAAGUCUGAUGUGAAAGCCCACGGCUCAACCGUGGAGGGUCAUUGGAAACUGGAAAACUUGAGUGCAGAAGAGGAAAGUGGAAUUCCAUGUGUAGCGGUGAAAUGCGCAGAGAUAUGGAGGAACACCAGUGGCGAAGGCGACUUUCUGGUCUGUAACUGACGCUGAUGUGCGAAAGCGUGGGGAUCAAACAGGAUUAGAUACCCUGGUAGUCCACGCCGUAAACGAUGAGUGCUAAGUGUUAGGGGGUUUCCGCCCCUUAGUGCUGCAGCUAACGCAUUAAGCACUCCGCCUGGGGAGUACGACCGCAAGGUUGAAACUCAAAGGAAUUGACGGGGACCCGCACAAGCGGUGGAGCAUGUGGUUUAAUUCGAAGCAACGCGAAGAACCUUACCAAAUCUUGACAUCCUUUGACAACUCUAGAGAUAGAGCCUUCCCCUUCGGGGGACAAAGUGACAGGUGGUGCAUG